ACGGCCUGCCUCAUGGUCCAAUCACACGUGGAUUCGGAGAAACGGCUUAGUGCUGGUCAGAUGCCAGGGACUGUUAGCUGAAGCUGAGGGCCUCUCAAGCUCAGGUGCAGCAGGGCAGGCAGACCCGCGGGUGGGGCUGGCUACUGGACUGCUGAACCCCACCAAGUCCGCCAGCAGGCCCCUGACCAGCCUCAGGUGGGAACUGCUGGCGCAUUUUCCCAGGAACACGCCCCCCCCCCCCCCCCCCGCGACCCAGUGACCUUGCUUCGUCAAGGUGGGCACCUUCGUCAAGUUCUAAACGUGAUCUUGACCCAAUCUGCUUGGGACCUGAGGCUAAAGGGGAUGAGAAACUGGUCUUUUUUUCUGGAAUAUGAUGGAAGGAUUUAAAUGAGAGGGAAUCAGCAGAUGAGCCUGGCGGCAGGCCACAUGGAACUCGGCAUCCAAGGGGAGGGGGAGAAGCGCGGAACCAGGAAACGGCAGCACAGCCCAGGAUAAAAGUCCAAACUCUACAGUACCCUCUACCUAACUCAACAAAGCCCUGCCACCUCUCUGAGCUCCCUUCCCGUCCUCCCACUCCUCUGCCUCUUCCUCUCGUUGGCUCCUCUCACUCCCUCCCAGGCUGCCCUGGCUGCUUGCACGCACCAUGCUUUUGGCCACCUUAAGGCUUCUGCAAGUGUUCCAGCCACGUUGACUGUCUCCUGCUUCAGGUCUGGGAUCAAACGUCACCACGUCAUGGGUACUUCCUGCCCCCUACACCCUACAUCCUACCCAGCCAUGCCCUCGGUCAUCCUGUCACCCUGCCUUGUUUUAUUUUCCUAAUUUAGACUUAAACUGUCUUAUUUGUGUAUUGUAGUGUGUUGUCUCCCCAGUUAAAAAAAAAACACGACCACUAUCAAUAGAAAUCUUUGGUCUUACACUUCUGAGGAUCAGAGUCUACACUGGCUCUUGCCACACUAAAGCCAAGGGACCAGCAGCUUCCCUCCCUCUCGAACCCUCUGCUGUCUGACUUCCACUUCAGCAAUAUUCUUAAGUGCCAAGCCCUGUGGGAUUUUUCUAUUCCUUAUUCUUCUAGAUCAGUGGUUCUCAACUGGAGGCGAAUGUACCCCUGGGGGACAUUUGGCAAUACCUGGGGACACUUUUCUAGAGGCCAGGGAUGCUGUAAACACCCAGCAAUACGCAAGAGGGCCUCUGGAACGCAGAAGGACCUGGUCCCCGCUGUCCCGGGUGCCGUGGCCGAGCAGCUGUCCAGACCUCUCCGCUGUGCCGCCUUGGUUUCCGCCGCCGCCUCUGGCUCUGUCUUCCUCGGCUUUCUCUCCACUCGACUCUUCUGGUUCUCUCUCAGCUCUCCGACCCUGCUUCUCUCACAUCCACUGCUCUGUCCACCCUGAUGCUCUGCCCUUGGCCACCUGCUGCUUCUCUUCCCCCGGGGCUGUUCCACCUGCCCACUGCAACCACCACCUCAACACCCUGACUCCGACGCGGCCAGCUUUGCUGGCUCAUCACAUCUCCAGACAGGCAUGUCAACCACAAGCUGGAUUUCUCCACUGGGAUGUCACACUGUCACCCUGAGCCCAGCACUCCCCAAACUGGAAACCAUCAGCAUGCCUUCCCUCCGAAAACCUGCUUUCUUCACAAGCCUCUUCUGUCCAGUCCCAGCGACUGCAGACAUUUGGGACUCAUCGGCUCUACAGGCAACUACCCUGGGGAGUCUCUAACAUAGAAAGGAAGUCAUUCGCAGACUUUAAUACUGAUAGCCGUCAUGUGCAACCAAGUACCUGAAGCGAACCAGCUAAUCCCAGUAUCCCGAAGCCAGAGUCCCAGGCAACCAAGUCUACACCAACGACAGCUACAAAUAGUUCUUCGUGUGAUCCAAUUUAAUUUUUACCAAAAAGCUCAGAGAAAGGAGGAAAAGGACUAUUUGUUUCAGAAUCAAAAGAACAGACAUAAGUACUGCAGAGCUCUGUGGAAAAGCAGAGGAGGGCAGAAAUGGCCUUUAUGCUUCCUCAAAAAGCCACAGUGGUUUUGUAGUCAAGCACUUGUCUUGUUUUCGCCCAAAGUGGCAGCACCAACAUAUCCACUCAUCCAACUAUCCUGUGAUGGCUGUCGGUUGCUAGGCAACGGUAACAGCGAUAGCUUUCUGCCCACCCACAAUGCACAGCUUUCAUAAUUGUUCUCACUGGGUCUGCCAAUUCCUCCUAGGCACUGUCUUCUCAGCCAAGGCUGCCUCUUCAAGCUCUUCUUCUUGCUUGCCUGGUCCCUUGGUAAAAUUUAAACACUGUAUUUGUCAUUAUGUUUCAGUAAUUUCUGUAACAGGCUGCCCAUCAGACACAGGAUGAUUUCACAGUAGGCUCAAGAACUACAAAUAGCUUUCCAUACAAGCAACCAGAUAAAAGCCAGCUGAUGGAACAUUCUCAGAAGUUCAAGCUAAAGUGCUGGUUUUAAGUCUCUUUGAACACAGUCUUCUGGCUGAAUAUACUUGUCUUGAUUAUAUAGAAUGAUGACAACCAAGUGUUAACUUAACCCUACUCUCUCUAUGGAAAGUCUUUAGGUCACAUACACCGCCACAUGUUAUAGAAGCAAAACAGGGAAAGUCUCAAUAAGCUGUCUCAAGUCCCAAGAGGCCUAACGAAUGUGAGCUUGAUAACGACACGUGGCGGUUCGCAGCCAAUAAAAAUCAAGCCACUACCUAACACUUAAUCUGUCAUACAGUUGAAGAGGUAACUUCCACAUUUAUUUCCUAUCUUUCUCCUCUGAGCAUUCCCUAAGUGCGAUAAAGGCCCAGAUUGGAAAUGACUUCUCCAACACAUGAGUGGCAAGGCUAGUGAGCAGCAAUCCUGAAUGGGGACACGGAUCUUUGGGCCCCACCUCGGGGCUACUUCCUCCACAGGAUGCUGGCUGAUAGGCUAACACCAUCAUCUGAGGUACCCGAGCUGGAAAGUGUUCUGGGGUUAAAGCUAUUCAACCCAAGAAACUAAAACAAGUGUUUUGACGUUGAGGAGCAGGAAGGCUGGGGAACGGAAGUAGAAAGACUGACCUGCUCUGGUACCCUUGUCCCAUGAUGCGUGGACAUGAUGACAUGCCAAAGAGUGAAGGGCUCUGAAUCAAAUACUCAUGGGUCCCUAACCAUAAGCUGUGAACAGGGUGGGAUGCUGAGGAUCAAGAGGAGGAAGACCUGGCAUCUGCUUUCAAGCAGCUCGUGAUAUAUUAAGGCAAAAGUGGGGCCCCAAGAACCGACAAGGAUGCUGUGAAAGGGCCAGGUAAACGGGCUAUGAAAACACAAAGGAAAAACAAUGAAUCAUGUCUGCUGAGCUAGAGAAAGUUUUAAAUAGGAAGAUUUGAGAUUAACCUUAAGAAUAAGCUUAAGGGGUCUGGACAGUACAGAAAGGAGACUUUAAACGGGAGCAGCAGUCCAAAGAUGAACAGUGGUUAGAGGGAGAGGGUACCACCCACUCAUGCAAAAUUUCCCGAGCCACUGCAGAUCAGGUACUGCACUAGGCACUUUGUGUAUUGUCUGAAAAAGAUGCUACACAAAAUUUCUAAGUGUUAGGAAGAGCACUUUGGUUGGAAAAAAAAAAAGUGUGGGAAUUACGAACUCAUUUUCUCUUAGAACAAAACCUUCCAGUGUAGAUAAGAAACUUGAUUAAAAAUGGUUUCAGUGGAGAUUGAGUGCAGAUUUUGGUGAUGUGGCAACUCUCUACUAAGACAUAACUCAGGGUCUAUGAAAGAUGUUUUCAGUUAGACCCUCAAUCACAGCACAUUACGAAAGAGAGGAAAUAAAAACGAUGUGAUUUUGUGUCGUUAAAAGGAUCCAUAAAACAGAAGAUGACAGCUAUAUUAAGGCUAGUAUUUUUCUAAAUUUCAGUCCCUAAUCUUCAAGCCAGUUGCCACGUUUGUGAAAUGUCAGGUGGGUAAAACCAAGUCCCUAGGGCUAGGAAGCCGGCAUGGGUCCUGGGUAGAGAAAUGACCAGUGACCAUCAUGCUCAUGCUAUGGGAAAGAUGCCAAGUAUACUUCUGAAGUCAUGAGGUUUUAUUUUGUUCUGUUUUUGAAAUUAGAUCGUUUAGGAUCCUACUUAUUUUUUAUCA